UUUUGAUACAGAUUACGAAAUUAAACCAAAUUAUUUAUUGUUGUCACUAUUUUAAACCUAACAUUUAAUCAGUAAAAUGGAUUACUUCCUAAAAGAGGUGGGGUCAAUAAAACCUUCCGUAAGGGAGGAGACUGAUACCAAGAGAAGACAGCCAUAUCGGUCAGAACAGGUAAAAUGCUCUUGGGAAGUCAACAGUCUGAAAUUGUACUUACUGCAGGUAUAACUAUAACUUUAUUCAAAAUAUUAAAUUUUGGUCCGUUAUA